UCGUCAUGCAUUUGUAGCAACUUGUGCAAUUUUUAUUUGCCAAUAUCCCCAUAUGAUUUUUAGCAAAGCCCACUCUUGAUUCUUUAAACUGUAUCAUGUUACCUGGAUGAUCAACAGCUGUUGUUUUGAACAGUUAAACUGCCCAUAGUUCUUUAGAAAAAUCCUCUUCUGCAUAUUUGACUCCUAUCCAGCAGUUGUUAUGUGACUCAAGUUGUUGCAAACAUUGACCGCUGAGCAAGAAGGCAACAUGAUUACAGCACUAAGAGCCAAGGGGGUGUAAACUUUUAAACAGGAUAAUUGAGAUUCAGUGGCUUUUGAGAAGAUAGAAUAAAUGCUGGAAUCUGAUGAGAAGAUGGAUGGUGAAGUGGAGGAUGACUUUCAUCUUGGCUAUUCUGGAGAAUUAGAAGAAUAUCAUAAUGAGUUGGAGGAAGGUCUUCAGAAACCCGAAGAUGAGCUGAUGGCUGACUGCCGUUGUUAUCAUCCAGGCUAUCCCGGUCACAGGUUUUUCAUUAUGUAUCAUGGCACUACAUGGGCUAAUGCUCUGAAGAUCCAAGCUGGAGGCUUCAUCCCCUC